rnacentral:rRNA from 1 species
AGUGAACGCUGGCGGUAGGCCUAACACAUGCAAGUCGAACGGCAGCACAGUAAGAGCUUGCUCUUACGGGUGGCGAGUGGCGGACGGGUGAGGAAUACAUCGGAAUCUACUUUUUCGUGGGGGAUAACGUAGGGAAACUUACGCUAAUACCGCAUACGACCUACGGGUGAAAGCAGGGGAUCUUCGGACCUUGCGCGAUUGAAUGAGCCGAUGUCGGAUUAGCUAGUUGGCGGGGUAAAGGCCCACCAAGGCGACGAUCCGUAGCUGGUCUGAGAGGAUGAUCAGCCACACUGGAACUGAGACACGGUCCAGACUCCUACGGGAGGCAGCAGUGGGGAAUAUUGGACAAUGGGCGCAAGCCUGAUCCAGCCAUACCGCGUGGGUGAAGAAGGCCUUCGGGUUGUAAAGCCCUUUUGUUGGGAAAGAAAGGCAGCAGGUUAAUACCCCGCUGUUCUGACGGUACUCAAAGAAUAAGCACCGGCUAACUUCGUG